rnacentral:pre_miRNA from 1 species
CUUAUACUCCCUCCGUCCGGAAAUACUUGUCAUUGAAAUGGAUGUAUCUAGAUGUAUUUUAGUUAUAGAUACAUCCAUUUUGAUGACAAGUAUUUCCGGACGGAGGGAGUAUUUA